CCAGCAGACCGCCUUAUCGCUGUUUCGAUUCGUCGAGAUGGAGGAAAGUCCGGACACCACAGAGUAGCAUAGCGGGUAACGCCCGUCCUUUCGAGAAAUCGGAAGAGGACCAGUGCAACAGAAAGGAUGUACAGUUCGGCUGUAGUGAAAUCAGGUAAACUCUAUGCGGUGCAAUGCCAUGUAUACCGACAGUUAAGGGCUACUCGUCCGUUGUCGGGGGGUAGGCAGAUAGAUCGUAUUAGUAAUAAUACGGCCAGAUAAAUGAUAAGGGUUCCGAAUUUCGGAAUACAGAAUCCGGCUUACAGGUCUGCUUUUUUA
rnacentral:RNase_P_RNA from 1 species